GUAAUAGAUAGAAUAAUUAAUACAUUUUGUUGUUUAUAAAAAUAAUAGAUUAAGUAUAUAUAGUAAAAGGUGGAGAAAUAUAAAUAUGAUAGAAAGUACUGAAGAGGACUAAAUGAAUUAAGUAAAUUAUAUAUUAGUAAAAAUUAUAGUUUGUACCUUUAGCAUUAUGGGUUGAUAAUAUAAUUAAUUUUAUAAUUUUUUUUCUCGAAAUAAAAGGAUUUAUCUAGUAAAGGGUUUAUAACCUAAUAAUUUUAACGUGGUAUAGUUAUAUUGUUAUUGCUAGAUGGUAGUGAAAUGCUAUACGACUUUUAUGUUAGCUAGUUUAUUAAUUGUAGCAUAUUAGUGCAGUGUGAUAUAAAUAUAUAUAUAUAUUAUAUCAUAUUUAUAUUAAAUGGGGGAUAAGCUUCAUAAUAUAAUUAAGAUCUACUAUAUAAGUAAAUUUUUAUUUAAAUUGAAUUAAAUAAUUUUGUUUAUAAUUAUUUAAUUAGAUAGAAGUGUUUAUAUCUUGAUUAUUAUUAAUAAAUUUUUGUUAAUUAUUAUAAUAGAUGGAUAUAAUGUUAAUAUGAGUAUUUAAUAUUUUGAUAAUUUAUAUUUUUGUUAGUUAUUUUGUAGUAGAAUAAAUAAAAUAUUAUAUAAUUAUUAUAGUGUAAUAAAGUAAAUAAAAGGAAUUUGGCAAAUAUCAAUUUCGCCUGUUUAUCAAAAACAUGUCUCUUUGUUUUUUUUGUAUAGAGAGUCGGGCCUGCUCGGUGAUAUUUAUUUAACAGCUGCGGUAUUUUAACUGUACUAAGGUAGCAUAAUAAUUUGCCUUAUAAAUUAAGGCUAGAAUGAAUGGUUUGACGAAAGUUGAGCUGUCUCUUAUUUAUUUUUUAAAAAUUAAUUUUUAAAGUGAAAAAGCUUGGAUUAUUUAAAGGGACGAGAAGACCCUAUUGAGCUUUUAUUGUUUAAUAAUAAAAAACGUUUUUUAUUAUUAAAAACAUAUUUGAUUGGGGUGAUCAAGGAAUAAACAUUUAUUUUUAACUUCCUUAUAAAUCAUAUUAAUAUAUUAAUUAACCAGUUUUAUUGCUUUUAUGAGUAAGUUACCAUAGGGAUAACAGCGUAAUUUUUUUAGAGAGUUCUUAUUGAAAAAAAAGAUUGCGACCUCGAUGUUGGAUUAAAAUUACCUUAAGGUGCAGACGCUUUAAUUGGUAAAUCUGUUCGAUUUUUAAAAUUUUACAUGAUCUGAGUUCAGACCGGUGUAAGCCAGGUUGGUUUCUAUCUUUUAAUUAUAUUAUUAUAUUUAGUACGAAAGGACCAAUUAUAAUUAAAAUAUUUAUUUAUUUAAUAAAAUUAUAAAGUUGGCAGAAUAUAUGUGAGUGAGUUAGGUUCAU
rnacentral:rRNA from 1 species